rnacentral:rRNA from 2 species
ACGGCUCAGUAACACGUAGUCAACAUGCCCAAGGGACGUGGAUAACCUCGGGAAACUGAGGAUAAACCGCGAUAGGCCAAGAUUUCUGGAAUGGAUCAUGGCUGAAAUCUAUAUGGCCCUUGGAUUGGACUGCGGCCGAUCAGGCUGUUGGUGAGGUAAUGGCCCACCAAACCUAUAACCGGUACGGGCUUUGAGAGAAGGAGCCCGGAGAUGGGCACUGAGACAAGGGCCCAGGCCCUAUGGGGCGCAGCAGGCGCGAAAACUCUGCAAUAGGCGAAAGCUUGACAGGGUUACUCUGAGUGAUGCCCGCUAAGGGCAUCUUUUGGUACCUCUAAAAAUGGUGCAGAAUAAGGGGUGGGCAAGUCUGGUGUCAGCCGCCGCGGUAAUACCAGCACCCCGAGUGGUCGGGACGAUUAUUGGGCCUAAAGCAUCCGUAGCUUGUCCUGCAAGUCUUCCGUUAAAUCCACCUGCUCAACAGAUGGGCUGCGGGAGAUACUACAGGGCUAGGAGGCGGGAGAGGCAAGCGGUACUCAGUGGGUAGGGGUAAAAUCCUCUGAUCCACUGAAGACCACCAGUGGCGAAGGCGGCUUGCCAGAACGCGCUCGACGGUGAGGGAUGAAAGCUGGGGGAGCAAACCGGAUUAGAUACCCGGGUAGUCCCAGCUGUAAACGAUGCAGACUCGGUGGAUGGGUUGGCUUCGGGCCAACCCAGUGCCGCAGGGAAGCCGUUAAGUCUGCCGCCUGGGGAGUACGGUCGCAAGACUGAAACUUAAAGGAAUUGGCGGGGGAGCACA